rnacentral:rRNA from 1 species
CAGCCGCCGCGGUAAUACGUAGGUGGCAAGCGUUGUCCGGAAUUAUUGGGCGUAAAGGGCUCGCAGGCGGUUUCUUAAGUCUGAUGUGAAAGCCCCCGGCUCAACCGGGGAGGGUCGUUGGAAACUGGGAAACUUGAGUGCAGAAGAGGAGAGUGGAAUUCCACGUGUAGCGGUGAAAUGCGUAGAGAUGUGGAGGAACACCAGUGGCGAAGGCGACUCUCUGGUUUGUAACUGACGCUGAGGAGCGAAAGCGUGGGGAGCGAACAGGAUUAGAUACCCCUGUAGUCCCUGUCUCUUAUAU